ACAAUCUAGGUUGUUGUUAUUGUAGUUUGGUUUUUAGUCUUUUUAUUUUUUUAUUGUUUUCGAAAUUUUGAAAGACACAUAUCUGGAAUCUGAAUUCUGAUCAUCACAAUUUUUCCACACAUAUCUGAAGUAUUUUUGUUUGGCAACGUCAUAUACUCAUAUGGAUCGCAUGUACGCAUCAUUCGUCAAUUCGUCUGUGGCUCGUUCUGGUCUGAUCUGUUCGUUCGUAUUGUUUCUCCCAACAUUGGGAAGAGUGAGUGACUCACACUGCGUUGAAGAAUAGAAGGAAAUUAAUCAUUUUAUAAAUAAACAAUUAUGUGAAGGUUCAAUCAAUCAAGUAUCAGGAAAGUUCAAAGUAACAAACCAGCCUUCACAUUCAAAUUGUCCUCAAUGCUCAAGAGGACAAUAUACUAAGAGCUUGUGGGCUACAGGCUGAAGAAGAAAUGCAAGAUUGGGGUUACAACAUUUUCCGAUAUUGAAAAAUUUGCAAUCACUACCUACAAUGAUUUAAGAGGAUUAAUUGCAACAGAAUCCAAACCGAGUAACAAAAAAAUUAUUGAAGAACAUCCAGAACAAGUCAUCUCUGUUGAAAGUUAAAUCAAGCUUCCGCAAUGAAGUGCAGCUCACGGAUUAGGGUGUGUUGACUGUUGACUCCACACAAUUCUAUAAAACCAGGAAAGAAAGAUUCAUUCUCAUGCAGUGGCAAUAGUUGAAGAAAAGUUGUCCCAAAAUCAAGAAUUGACACAGAAUGUUGGGAAUUUAUUGC